rnacentral:rRNA from 1 species
AUGUCGUCGCUCGCCGUCGGCCGCGGGCUGGACCUGGACUUGGAGUUGGGGAUCUGGCUCGCGGGUCUCUUCUCUGGGCCGGAGCUUGCGGCGGCGGAGCUGCUGCUGCAGCUCAGCGUUCUCGGAGAGGCGGAGGCGAAGGCGGAGCCCACCAAGUCCUCGCGGUGUUCGGCGGGCUCGCGCUUCGAGGGCCUCUCCGUCGAGGCAGAGGAGCGGGUCGUCCAGGAGAUUCCAGCGUCGGCGUCCACGGAGCUGGACAGGCGGGCGAGGAAGAGGCACCGCCUGCUGUCGGAGCUCUACGCCGACACCAUCCCCGCGAAAUCCGAUGCCGCCGCGAAGAAGAAGAGGAGGAAGACGCAUCACGACCACGGCGGGCCGUCAUCGGAGUCGAAGGAGACGAGGUACGGCGGAGACUACUAG